ACGCACGUGUGAAACUUGAAGGAAUUGACGGAAGGGCACCACAAGAACGCGUGGAGCAUGUGGCUUAAUUUGACUCAACGCGGGAAAUCUUACCGGGUCCGGACACACUGAGGAUUGACAGGCAAUAUUAAAUAAAGUUUAAUUUUCGGACUAUCUGAUAUUUAUGUUAAAUAUGCUAGUCCUUUCAUGAUUAUGUGAUAGGUGGUGCAUGGCCGUUCUUAGUUCGUGGAGUGAUCUGUCUGCUUAAUUGCGUUUCACUAAGGGCUUAUCUAAUUAUAACGUGUGUUGCUAGAGUUUUAUACCUUUGUGACCCCUUUAAUUAGUGUGUGUCUAUAAUGGUAGCUUUGGCUCACACAAUUACGUCCUGAAAGCAACGAACGUGACCG
rnacentral:rRNA from 1 species